GAUGAAGAACGUAGCGAAAUGCGAUAAGUAAUGUGAAUUGCAGAAUUCAGUGAAUCAUCGAAUCUUUGAACGCACAUUGCGCCCCCUGGUAUUCCGGGGGGCAUGCCUGUUCGAGCGUCAUUUCACCACUCAAGCCUCGCUUGGUAUUGGGCAUCGCGGUCCGCCGCGUGCCUCAAAUCGACCGGCUGGGUCUUCUGUCCCCUAAGCGUUGUGGAAACUAUUCGCUAAAGGGUGUUCGGGAGGCUACGCCGUAAAACAACCCCAUUUCUAAGGUUGACCUCGGAUCAGGUAGGGAUACCCGCUGAACUUAAGCAUAUCAUAAGCGGAGGA
rnacentral:misc_RNA from 1 species